rnacentral:rRNA from 2 species
ACGGGAGGCAGCAGUGGGGAAUAUUGCACAAUGGGGGAAACCCUGAUGCAGCGACGCCGCGUGAUUGAAGAAGUAUUUCGGUAUGUAAAGAUCUAUCAGCAAGGAAGAAAAUGACGGUACUUGACUAAGAAGCCCCGGCUAACUACGUGCCAGCAGCCGCGGUAAUACGUAGGGGGCAAGCGUUAUCCGGAUUUACUGGGUGUAAAGGGAGCGUAGGCGGUUUGGCAAGCCAGAAGUGAAAACCCGGGGCUCAACCUCGGGAUUGCUUUUGGAACUGUCGAACUAGAGUGUUGGAGAGGUAAGUGGAAUUCCUAGUGUAGCGGUGAAAUGCGUAGAUAUUAGGAGGAACACCAGUGGCGAAGGCGGCUUACUGGACAAUAACUGACGCUGAGGCUCGAAAGCGUGGGGAGCAAACAGGAUUAGAUACCCUGGUA